GACGAACGCUAGCGGCGUGCUUAACACAUGCAAGUCGAGCGGUAAGGCCCUUCGGGGUACACGAGCGGCGAACGGGUGAGUAACACGUGGGUGAUCUGCCUUGCACUUCGGGAUAAGCCUGGGAAACUGGGUCUAAUACCGGAUAUGACCAUGGGAUGCAUGUCUUGUGGUGGAAAGAUUUAUCGGUGCGAGAUGGGCCCGCGGCCUAUCAGCUUGUUGGUGAGGUAACGGCUCACCAAGGCGACGACGGGUAGCCGACCUGAGAGGGUGACCGGCCACACUGGGACUGAGACACGGCCCAGACUCCUACGGGAGGCAGCAGUGGGGAAUAUUGCACAAUGGGCGGAAGCCUGAUGCAGCGACGCCGCGUGCGGGAUGACGGCCUUCGGGUUGUAAACCGCUUUUGACAGGGACGAAGCGCAAGUGACUGUACCUGUAGAAUAAGGACCGGCCAACUACGUGCCAGCAGCCGCAGUAAAAC
rnacentral:rRNA from 1 species